GAGGUUCAGUUCUGUAUAUGAAUGGCAUUUUCCGUAAAGAAGUCUUGAGUACUAACGUUCACGUUGAAUACCACUUCUCUGUCGAUCCUUACUUUGGUGCCUCUAGCAGCAACGACUCAAAUUUAUCUGUACAACGCCUUCGGGCGGUCUAGAACGUUUAAAGGAAAUAUUGAAAUGGCAAAGAUUAAAGGUCAGGUUAAGUGGUUCAACGAGUCUAAAGGUUUUGGCUUCAUUACUCCGGCUGACGGCAGCAAAGAUGUAUUCGUACAUUUCUCUGCAAUUCAGGGUAAUGGCUUCAAAACUCUGGCUGAAGGCCAGAACGUUGAGUUUGAAAUUCAGGAUGGCCAGAAAGGUCCUUCAGCAGUAAACGUCACUGCACUGUAAUUUACACAUUCUGCGUAAUAAAACCCGCCUUGAUGCGGGUUUUUUG
rfam:Lonsdalea quercina strain ATCC 29281 genome assembly, contig: Ga0052894_scaffold00002.2